rnacentral:rRNA from 1 species
AGCAAGCGUUGUUCGGAUUUACUGGGCGUAAAGGGUGCGUAGGCGGGCCGGUAAGUCAGUGGUGAAAUCUUCGAGCUUAACUCGGAAACUGCCUUUGAUACUAUCUGUCUUGAAUAUUGUGGAGGUAAGCGGAAUAUGUCAUGUAGCGGUGAAAUGCUUAGAUAUGACAUAGAACACCUAUUGCGAAGGCAGCUUACUACGCAUAUAUUGACGCUGAGGCACGAAAGCGUGGGGAUCAAACAGG